rnacentral:rRNA from 1 species
AACCAUUUUGUACGAUCACUUUGGACAGUUCAUACAAAGUUUAAGGAAGUUUUGUUAUGUUUGCGCAAGUUAGCGAAAGAUAACAUCAAACCAACAGAUCCUACUUUUAAGCAUGAGCAUGAAAAGAUUAAGGAAGAGCGUUUCUGGCCUCAUUUCAAAGGCGCUAUUGGUGCCAUAGAUGGAUCACAUGUGCCAGUUUCAGUGCCUGCAGAUGAUGCGGUUAACCAUAGAUGUCGACAUGGUUUCACAUCUCAGAAUGUGCUUGCAGUAUGUGACUUUGACAUGAGGUUUACCUUUGUGGUUGCGGGUUGGCCGGGCUGUGCACAUGAUACAAGGGUCUUGAAUCAUGCAUUAGCACACUUCCCUUCAUUUCCUAUACCACCCAAAGGGAAAUACUAUCUUGUCGACUAUGGGUAUCCAAACCGAACGGGAUACCUUGCUCCUUUUAAGGGGAGUACAUACCAUCUGCCGGAAUUUCGCCUUCGCCGUCAUCGUCCACCUGAAGGGAAGUACGAGUUGUUUAACUUUUCACAUUCAUCCCUUCGAAAUGUUGUUGAGCGUGCUUUCGGGGUACUCAAGCAGAAAUGGCGCAUCUUGAAAGGGGUCCCAAGUUUCUCACCUCAUACACAGAAGCAUAUCAUCAUUGCUUGC